GCCUCGGUGGCUCGGAGGCGAGAGCGCCGGCCUACGGAUCCCCAGGUGGCGGGUUCGAAUCCCGACCGAGGUG
rnacentral:tRNA from 1 species